rnacentral:rRNA from 1 species
ACACGAAGUCGGAAUCGCUAGUAAUCGCGGAUCAGCAUGCCGCGGUGAAUACGUUCCCGGGCCUUGUACACACCGCCCGUCACACAUGGGAGUUUGUAACGCCCAAAGUCGGUGGCCUAACCUUUAUGGAGGGAGCCGCCUAAGGCGGGACAGAUGACUGGGGUGAAGUCGUAACAAGGUAGC